UUAUAUUAGUUUGGCUGUCUGGAGUCAUAUAUGCACUACACAUUUCAAAUACCCGCUAAAUCAGACAAUAUUUAAGACUUCCGAGGAGUUAAAAAGUAAGUGCUUAACCCAUUUCACAAUUUCGUGACGUGACAUUUUUCAACGGUGGCACUUAUUGUAUCGACAGUUGGCUUAAGCAUGGGUUUGAUUCCUAUGUUUCUUGAAACUCGCAUUAUAUUCGUAGAAAUUCUAAAAAAAUUGAGCAUAUAAAAUUUAUUGUAGAUAGAUGUCUAGAGGUAGCGCAAUAUGGAAAGAAAGUUGUAGAUACCACCCGCGAGUUGAUUUGUUUGUUUUACAAAGUUUUCUGGAAAAGCCGUCUUUGAUAAGAUCCUUAUUAAUAGUACGCGUGAAAAUGGAUUCGCGCCCCAUACCGUCAAUAUAACGUUUUACAAGAAAUGAAAAUAUGAAAGUGCUUUUGUAGAUGAUGGCUUAAUGUAAAAAGGGCCUUGCUCAAUUUUUUGUUUCUUUGCAGGAGAAGGUAAAACUUAGUCGGUUAAAUUGUACAUAUAACAUACAUUUUAAUACAAAUUGCAAUAAAAAACCAUUAAUUAUA
rnacentral:sRNA from 1 species